rnacentral:tRNA from 1 species
GGGCCCGUAGCUCAACCUGGACAGAGCAGCGCUCUCCUAAGGCGAAGGUUGUGAGUUCAAAUCUCACCGGGCCCG